CGAAUUGAAUCUUGGAGACAGAGUUUUGGGAAAGAACGAUCUGUUGCCAGGAGCUGGGUACCUCAAGCAGCUUGAUCAAGUGCCAAGAAAUGGACGCAGAGAUCCAUUACAGCCGCGGCAGGGGAGAGGAUGCUGCAAGGAGAUGAUGCACGCCACAGUACAGCCUCGCUGGCUGGUCCCGGCUUCAUCCGGCCUCAGAUCCGCGUGGGCCUUUUCCAGGUUAUCAAUCAACAUAGAAUAACCUUUCUUGAUAGGAGAAACCAAGAGAAUUCUUUCAAAUCUAAAGCAGGAAUAUGUGAGCUUCAGAACCAUGACAGACGAUUGCUGAACAUCAAAUUGAUGAGUGAAUACUUCAUCAGAUCUGGUUGCCUUAACAACUAAAAUAGCCAAAAUGUUAAGACAGUCAAAUAAGAUUGAUUAUUUUUGAUACAAUCCGUGGGUGGCUGACCCAGAAAGCCUCAGCCUAAUCACACAUAUAAACACA
ensembl:lncRNA